rfam:Danio rerio chromosome 4, GRCz11 reference primary assembly.
GCUUACGGCCAUACCACCCUGGAGAUGCCCGAUCUCAUCUGAACUCGGAAGUAAAGCAGGGUCGGGCCUGGUUAGUACUUGGAUGGGAGACCGCCUGGGAAUACCAGGUGCUGUAAGCU